ACUAGAUCUACACAGCAUGUGCGCUGUCUGCUCAGCCCCGCAGAGAGCGAGUUAACCCCAUCCAGCUGAGUGCACGUCGGUGAAAGUGCUCCGACACGUCGUGCUCGAACGGAACCAUUGAAUUCAAACCGUGAACUGGAGUCAGAAAAGGUCCGGGGGGGGGCACUUGUGUUUCUGCAGGUUGCCUGUCAGCUGCUUACCUGGGAGCCGGUGAUCCACCCAGGAGUUGGCGAGACGUUGUUAACUCAAGCAGUCCCCUGAGAGAUGCAUCCUGAGUCAGACACAUCUUUGGCAGUCACUCAUUCACUCACUCAAAGACAAAUCAACACUCAUGCUAAGCUGGCUUCAGUUUAGAGACUACUGGACAAAUCUGCAGGACAAAGGAGGUUUUGAAUUAUACACAUUUUUACUGCAGAGACAGGCAGCUGUUGGUGGGUACAGGCCACGAUACAGAGACAUGAAAAGACUGUAGGCAUCCAGCCAAAGUGAUGGAUUUUAUAGAGGGUGGAAACAAUAAAAGGCUUACAGUUC